ACAUAUAGACAUUCAAUUUCCUGCUUUCAUUAUUUUUUUUUUUGCUAAAAAAAGUGUAUCAAAAUUCUAUUACCAUGGUACCAUCCAUUCUUAUUUCCGUCUCUAACCCAGGCUGGAGUUCAUUGGCACAAUCUCAGCUCAUUACAGCCUUGACCUCCUGGACUCAAGCCAUCCUCCCACCUCGGCCUCCCAAGUAGCUGAAACCACAGGUAUGUGCAACCACACCCAGCUAAUUUUUGUAUUUUUUGUAGAGAGGAGGUUUUGCCGUGUUGCCCAGGCUGGUCUCGGACACCUGAGCUCAAGCA
rnacentral:lncRNA from 10 species